CCUCAGCCUCAAGCUCGAAUGUGACAAGUUGGCCAGUGAGAAGUCGGAGAUGCAGCGUCACUAUGUGAUGUACUACGAGAUGUCCUAUGGCUUGAACAUCGAGAUGCACAAACAGGCGGAGAUCGUCAAAAGGCUGAACGGGAUUUGUGCCCAGGUCCUGCCCUACCUCUCCCAAGAGCACCAGCAGCAGGUCUUGGGAGCCAUCGAGAGGGCCAAGCAGGUCACCGCUCCCGAGCUGAACUCUAUCAUCCGAGUACGUAUGGGGACCUGGGCGGGUGGGUGGGGGACAGCUGGGCCCCAGGCAGCUAACGUUCCCCUCCCCCGCCCUGCAGCAGCAGCUCCAAGCCCACCAGCUGUCCCAGCUGCAGGCCCUGGCCCUGCCCUUGACCCCACUGCCCGUGGGGCUGCAGCCGCCUUCGCUGCCGGCGGUCAGUGCAGGCACCGGCCUCCUCUCGCUGUCCGCACUGGGUUCCCAGGCCCACCUCUCCAAGGAAGACAAGAACGGGCACGAUGGUGAUACCCACCAGGAGGAUGAUGGCGAGAAGUCGGAUUAGCAGGGGGCCGGGACGGGGAGGGUGGGAGGGGGGACAGAGGGGAGACAGAGGCAUGGAGAGAAAGGAAUGUUUAGCACAAGACACAGCGGAGCUCGGGAUUGGCUAAACUCCCAUAGUAUUUAUGGUGGCCGCCGGCGGGGGCCCCAGCCCAGCUUGCAGGCCACCUCUAGCUUUCUUCGUACCCCAGUCCCGGCCUCCCUCCUCCCCCGCAGCCUGGAUAGGUGGAUGCCUGCCCUGACACGUGAGGCAAGCUAAGGCCUGGAGGGUCAGAUGGGAGACCAGGUCCCGAGGGAGCAAGACCUCGAGAAGCGCAGCGCCCCUGGCCCUUCCCCCAUUUUGAACACGUGUAACUGACAGUCUGCCUGGGCCCCUCGGGACACACGCCACAGCUCUCUCACCCUGGUACUGCAUGCACGCAAUGCUAGCUGCCCCUUUCCCGCCCUGGGCACCCCGAGUCUCCCCCGACCCCGGGUCCCAGGAGGUAUGCUGCCACCUCCACCUGCCCCACUCACCACCUCUGCUAGUUCAGACGCCUCCACGCCCACCGGGUCCUCUCCCAUCGCCCACUAAAGGCGGGGCACGAGGGACGAGCUUAGCUGAGCUGGGAGGAGCAGGGUGAGGG
rnacentral:sRNA from 1 species